GUCCCGCGUGGGAAUGGCUCGUGCAAAUGCUGACGUGGCACUUUACUUUUUUUAUGAAAUAAAAAAUUUGUAGCUAACUCUCACCUGUGACUUUGCCUCAAAAUAAAAGUACACUCUUACCCGUGACUCUGUUAGUAGUGAGUACCCUUCUCUGACUCUUUGACUUUCCUCUCUCCUCUAAGCUCUUUCUCAGAUUUCUCAUCUCACUUUUUCUCUCUUGCAAGAGCUUUUUCUCUAAGCUUCGACGAUGGGGAUGGCGCAUGCGUUGCCAAAAAGUGCUUUGUGAUCCUCUCAUGGCUUUUAAGGUUUCUUGGGAUUAAUUUGAUGGUUUGAUGAGAAAGAAAGAAAUACCGGUGUCAAGCGGCAACGCCUGAAGAAGAAUGCUCGAAGAAUCGAGUUUCGCUGUUUUCCGAGGUCUAUUUCAUGGGAUCCCUCUUGAAUUGAAAGAUUUAAUUACAGUUUUUCAGUAUGAGACCAAUUUAGGUUCUCGAAGUUUGAAAGAUCAAGUGCUUGAUUUUGAAGCUUGGAUCUAUCAAAGCAGGUAUAAUACUCCCAGCAGCAAGUCUGCAACUACACCUAGACUUACCAAAUUAGUCAAGGCAGGAUAACUUAAUCAGAUGUUGAUUUACCUUCUCCUGUUCAGAAUACGCGCCUUUUGAUUUGAAACCGUCCAUUACUUGAUCCACUACCUGAGUUUCGUCACCAGAAGAUGAUAGACAAACUUCGUGGCGGAUGCGGGCAGUACGUGGCUUUAGGACCCAAGAGAUUUGAAAGCCGAAAACACUUGCCUCAUCCUUGUGAUUUGUUUACAAGCACCUUGAACUGAAGCUAUCAAGAUGGUUUUGGGCUACACCAGACUGCAUAAUUCUUAGGUUUUCUGAUUACUUCUUUAAUUAAGCCGAAAGCACUUGCCUCAUUCUUGUAGUUUGUUUACAAGCAUCUUGAGCUGAAGCUAUCAAGAAUUCAUGAUACUAUGGGUGAAGAGAAUCAUGUUUACAACUAAUUAUUAUGGCUUCAUCUAUUAACGAAUUGUAUUAUGUUAAUGUAUGGCAGAUUUAGUGUAUGCAAUUGCUAUUUUCAUGUUAGUAAUCAGAUUGUAUUAUGUCAAUGUAUGGAAAAUUUAAUGCAAUUGCUAUU